AAGAAAUCGAUAUAGACAAUCUCGUACCGAUGAGGAUUCAUCAAGUAUCAAAGGCGAUGUUAACUUUAACAGCAGCGCUGUCGACGUCGUCAAAAUGCUUGUAUGAGAUAAAACAUAUUGUGUAAGCUUUUCCAACGUCUCUUUAACAUGUUAGCAAAAGAUGCAUAAGUUAAUAGAAAAUUUCUCUUACCCUGCCGUUGAUUGGCAUUAUGAUGCUUUAACAUUCCUAAAAGAUGUGCAAAGUACGCCUGAUCCUUAGCUGUUGUAUUGAAAUCCUCCUUUUCUAAAGCUGCCUGUGUUGGAAGUACGAGCGCUAGAUGUUUAGGUUAGUUAUUUGAAUAAAAA